CCACCCAGCACCAGACGUCAUUUGGACGUCGUUUUCUGGUCUAAAUCAAGUCGGCCCGUCAUGGCAAUCUUUUAGACCAAAAAGCGACGUUGAAAAUUGAUCUUCAUUUGGUCCGUCGGAUUUGGUCCAAAUUAAGCCCAAAAAGCGACGUUGAAAAUUGGUCUUCGUUUGGUCCGUCGGAUUUGGUCCAAAUUAAGCCCAAAUAGCGACAUUUAACGUCUUUUUUUUUUUUUUUUUUUUAAUUUAGCCCAAAAAUAGAUGUAAAUGGGCUUUAGUCCAAAUUUAGCAGAAAAAAAAACUUUUAUUUCGCACCACAAAGCCAUUAACAUAAACUAGUGAAGAAAUUAGACAUCAUGUCUGAUCGCACUGUUAAAUAUAUUUAAAUAUAUUUUGAAAACACUUGAUGGUCACGCGCUGUACUGGAGUCACCAUGGAAACGGGGCUCAGCUCAACCGUCAAGCAGCUGAACAGACGCUGUCUCUCAUGGUGGUUUUCACUAAUUUCAGUUUAUAGAAAUGGUCAGUGUCUUCAUGAAAAGUCCGUUAGCAUCUCAACUGUAAUGCUAACUACAAGAGAUUCUUCCAUGCUGAUGGCCGUGCCUGUAUCCAGCUGAAGAACAUUUUUAGACAUUAUGAAACAUAUAACUAAGACUGAAAAUCAUUGAUAAACCACAAGAGUUUAGCUCCAACCCCAGUAAAGCAGACCUGAGCAGCUGAUCAAGGAUCAGCAGAAACUCUGCAGAACGGUGGUCCUCCAGCCCAGGACUGGACACCAGUGUUAUGCUGCAGAAAAAAGAGCGAGGCUAAAGCAUUCAAAGUGGAAACAUCUGCCGUGGCUCAUUAAUCCAGAAUUAGGAUGGAGGAAGGAGCAGAAGAAGCAGAAGAUCAGAGAUCAGGCAGAGAUCUACUGGUGCCCCUGUGGGAACCCCAUUUACCUAAUGUGUUAGUUUAACCAAAGAUUUUCCUCACUCACCUUUAUGUUGUUCCAAACCAGACUUUUGUUCAUCCUUGAAACAUAAAUGCGGAACUUUUUAAUGAAAUCUGAGAUUUUUGUGAAAAUCCAUUGGGGAGUCAUAAUUUCUGAAUAGAUUAUUUUUGCUGUUGUUAUUGUUUGUUUGGGUUUUUUUUGUACACAAGGCAUCUGUUAAAAAAAUAUCUUAAUUUGUGUUCUGCACAAAAGGGUGUUAUGGGUUUGGGGCAACAUGAGGGUAAGUAAUUAAUGACAGAAUUAAAAUUUUUGGUUGUUCUAAUGUGGUUAUAAUUGGUCAUAGUUUAUUUGUCUUGAAAAAAUAUAUUUAUACAGAAACAUGGAUUAAUUUGAUAAGUUUAUAGUAAAGCCUUUUAAAUUGAUAAAAAAAAAAAUCUAAAUAAAUACUACUCUUUUGCAAGGUCUAUUAAAAAAAUAUGGACAAAUGUAAUGGGUUCCACAAAAUAUUUGGCAGCACAACGGUUUUAAACUGAUAAUAAUCAGAAAUGUUUCUUGAGCAGCAAAUCAGUAUAUUAUAAUGAUUUCUGAAGAUCAUGUAAUACUGAAGACUGAAGUAUUUGUGUUAAAAAUUUCAGUUUACAGGCAUAAAUUACAUUCUACAAUGCAUCCACAUAGAAAACAAUUAUUUCUGUAGUUAUAUUUCACAAUAUUACAGUUUUUACGGUCUGUUUAAUCAAAAGAAGCUUAAGAUGUGAUCAAGAUUUUACAUGAAAGAUGUAAUGUGUCAAUAAAUGUGUCAAUAUAC